GGAGAGGUGUCAGAGCGGUCGAUCGUACAGCUUUGCUAAAGCUGUUCCGCCGAAAGGCGGACGAGGGUUCGAAUCCCUCCCUCUCCG
rnacentral:tRNA from 1 species